GACGAACGCUGGCGGCGUGCUUAACACAUGCAAGUCGAACGGUAAGGCCCUUCGGGGUACACGAGUGGCGAACGGGUGAGUAACACGUGGGUGAUCUGCCCCGCACUUCGGGAUAAGCCUGGGAAACUGGGUCUAAUACCGGAUAGGACCACUGCCUGCAUGGGUGGGGGAAAGCUUUUGCGGUGUGGGAUGGCCCGCGGCCUAUCAGCUUGUUGGUGGGGUGAUGGCCUACCAAGGCGACGACGGGUAGCCGGCCUGAGAGGGUGACCGGCCAAACUGGGACUGAGAUACGGCCCAGACUCCUACGGGAGGCAGCAGUGGGGAAUAUUGCACAAUGGGCGCAAGCCUGAUGCAGCGACGCCGCGUGAGGGAUGACGGCCUUCGGGUUGUAAACCUCUUUCAGCACCGACGAAGCGCAAGUGACGGUAGGUGCAGAAGAAGGACCGGCCAACUACGUGCCAGCAGCCGCCGUAA
rnacentral:rRNA from 1 species